CUUGACGAUCAUAGAGCGUUGGAACCACCUGAUCCCUUCCCGAACUCAGAAGUGAAACGACGCAUCGCCGAUGGUAGUGUGGGGUCU
rnacentral:rRNA from 1 species